AUGAACGCUAGCUACAGGCUUAACACAUGCAAGUCGAGGGGCAGCAUGGUCUUAGCUUGCUAAGGCCGAUGGCGACCGGCGCACGGGUGAGUAACACGUAUCCAACCUGCCGUCUACUCUUGGACAGCCUUCUGAAAGGAAGAUUAAUACAAGAUGGCAUCAUGAGUCCGCAUGUUCACAUGAUUAAAGGUAUUCCGGUAGACGAUGGGGAUGCGUUCCAUUAGAUAGUAGGCGGGGUAACGGCCCACCUAGUCUUCGAUGGAUAGGGGUUCUGAGAGGAAGGUCCCCCACAUUGGAACUGAGACACGGUCCAAACUCCUACGGGAGGCAGCAGUGAGGAAUAUUGGUCAAUGGGCGAGAGCCUGAACCAGCCAAGUAGCGUGAAGGAUGACUGCCCUAUGGGUUGUAAACUUCUUUUAUAAAGGAAUAAAGUCGGGUAUGGAUACCCGUUUGCAUGUACUUUAUGAAUAAGGAUCGGCUAACUCCGUGCCAGCAGCCGCGGUAAUACGGAGGAUCCGAGCGUUAUCCGGAUUUAUUGGGUUUAAAGGGAGCGUAGAUGGAUAUUUAAGUCAGUUGUGAAAGUUUGCGGCUCAACCGUAAAAUUGCAGUUGAUACUGGAUAUCUUGAGUGCAGUUGAGGCAAGCGGAAUUCGUGGUGUAGCGGUGAAAUGCUUAGAUAUCACGAAGAACUCCGAUUGCGAAGGCAGCCUGCUAAGCUGCAACUGACAUUGAGGCUCGAAAGUGUGGGUAUCAAACAGGAUUAGAUACCCUGGUAGUCCACACGGUAAACGAUGAAUACUCGCUGUUUGCGAUAUACUGCAAGCGGCCAAGCGAAAGCGUUAAGUAUUCCACCUGGGGAGUACGCCGGCAACGGUGAAACUCAAAGGAAUUGACGGGGGCCCGCACAAGCGGAGGAACAUGUGGUUUAAUUCGAUGAUACGCGAGGAACCUUACCCGGGCUUAAAUUGCAGAUGAAUUACGGUGAAAGCCGUAAGCCGCAAGGCAUCUGUGAAGGUGCUGCAUGGUUGUCGUCAGCUCGUGCCGUGAGGUGUCGGCUUAAGUGCCAUAACGAGCGCAACCCUUGUUGUCAGUUACUAACAGGUUCCGCUGAGGACUCUGACAAGACUGCCAUCGUAAGAUGUGAGGAAGGUGGGGAUGACGUCAAAUCAGCACGGCCCUUACGUCCGGGGCUACACACGUGUUACAAUGGGGGGUACAGAGGGCCGCUACCACGCGAGUGGAUGCCAAUCCCCAAAACCUCUCUCAGUUCGGACUGGAGUCUGCAACCCGACUCCACGAAGCUGGAUUCGCUAGUAAUCGCGCAUCAGCCACGGCGCGGUGAAUACGUUCCCGGGCCUUGUACACACCGCCCGUCAAGCCAUGGGAGCCGGGGGUACCUGAAGUGCGUAACCGCGAGGAGCGCCCUAGGGUAAAACUGGUGACUGGGGCU
rnacentral:rRNA from 1 species